GUCGCCCAGCCAGUAUGACCCUCGGCUUGUAACCGAGUGGGUUCGGGUUCGAAUCCCGAGUAAGACA